ensembl:misc_RNA Metazoa_SRP Metazoan signal recognition particle RNA
GCUGAGUGUGGUGGUGCACACUUGUAAUUCCAGCUACUUGGGAGGCUGAGGCAGGAGAAUCACUUGAACCUAGGAGGCAGAGACUGCAGUGAGCCAAGAUCUUGCCACUGCACUCCAGCCUAGGUGACAAAGUGAGACUCGGUCUCAA